AAAGGCCUUUAGCAUGGCCAUGUGCCCCAGGGCCAAGAGGCUGCCCAGAGCUCCCAGACUGUGGAGGAAACACUGUCCUCCCCCAGUCCUGUAAUGCCAAGUAAUAUGCAGUUGGUUCCUGUUGUUGAGGCCCCCAGUAAUC